rnacentral:tRNA from 1 species
GCCGACGUGGUGAAAUGGCAGACACGGUAGACUCAAAAUCUACUGUCCGCAAGGACAUAUCGGUUCAAGUCCGAUCGCCGGCA